GGUUCGUUGGUGUAACGGUCAACACGACUUAACCUGUCCGCUUGUUGUACUGCGGUAUAUCACGCUCGCAGCAUAGAAGCUACUGGUUCGAAUCCGGUACGUGCCA